rnacentral:tRNA from 1 species
CCUUCGAUAGCUCAGUUGGUAGAGCGGUGAACUGUAGAUAGUGCAAUUUGAAUGUUGAAAUCCAUAGGUCGCUGGUUCAAAUCCUGCUCUAAGCA